rnacentral:rRNA from 1 species
CCUACGGGAGGCAGCAGUGGGGAAGUUUUGGACAAUGGGCGCAAGCCUGAUCCAGCAAUGCCGCGUGAGUGAAGAAGGCCUUCGGGUUGUAAAGCUCUUUUGUCAGGGAAGAAACGGUGGGGGCUAAUAUCCUCCACUAAUGACGGUACCUGAAGAAUAAGCACCGGCUAACUACGUGCCAGCAGCCGCGGUAAUACGUAGGGUGCAAGCGUUAAAUCGGAAUUACUGGGCGUAAAGCGUGCGCAGGCGGUUUUGUAAGUUUGUCGUGAAAUCCCCGGGCUCAACCUGGGAAUGGCGAUGAAGACUGCAAGGCUAGAAUCUGGCAAGAGGGGGGUAGAAUUCCACGUGUAGCAGUGAAAUGCGUAGAGAUGUGGAGGAACACCGAUGGCGAAGGCAGCCCCCUGGGUCAAGAUUGACGCUCAUGCACGAAAGCGUGGGGAGCAAACAGGAUUAGAUACCCUGGUAGUCCACGCCCUAAACGAUGUCUACUAGUUGUACGGGUUUUAAUUAACGUUGGUAACGCAGCUAACGCGUAGAAGUAGACCGCCGUGGGGAGUACGGUCGCAAGAUUAAAACUCGAAAAGGAUUGACCGGNNGAGACGUGCCGACGGACGACGACGAGGGAGGAGG